CUGCAAAUAUCCUGUUCCGAUUCUGUAAUGAUGACUAGAGCAAGACCACACAUGUGCNUAGACCUAGUUCUUUCCCUAGGUCUGGUUUUCAAAUGCUGCUGACAAAC
rnacentral:snoRNA from 1 species